rnacentral:rRNA from 1 species
AUGAACGCUGGCGGCGUGCCUAAUACAUGCAAGUCGAGCGAACGGACGAGAAGCUUGCUUCUCUGAUGUUAGCGGCGGACGGGUGAGUAACACGUGGAUAACCUACCUAUAAGACUGGGAUAACUUCGGGAAACCGGAGCUAAUACCGGAUGAUAUUUUGAACCGCAUGGUUCAAAAGUGAAAGACGGUCUUGCUGUCACUUAUAGAUGGAUCCGCGCUGCAUUAGCUAGUUGGUAAGGUAAUGGCUUACCAAGGCAACGAUGCAUAGCCGACCUGAGAGGGUGAUCGGCCACACUGGAACUGAGACACGGUCCAGACUCCUACGGGAGGCAGCAGUAGGGAAUCUUCCGCAAUGGGCGAAAGCCUGACGGAGCAACGCCGCGUGAGUGAUGAGGGUCUUCGGAUCGUAAAACUCUGUUAUUAGGGAAGAACAUAUGUGUAAGUAACUGUGCACAUCUUGACGGUACCUAAUCAGAAAGCCACGGCUAACUACGUG